AACUCCAAUUGGGGUGAUCCAAAAGUGAGAAUACACUUAUAAAUUAUAGUUUUUACAAUGAAAAUUGAUUUGUUAUACAUUGUGAAUAUGUUUAUUUUAUUAUGAAUUUCGAGAAUGUUGUGCUACCUAUUUUACAAUGGAGAUUUGAAAUGAAGCUUGUUUAAUUUUCUGCAUUGUGAAAUUUUUGUGUUAAUUAGGGGUUUUAAGUACUACGGUGUUGCCACCUGUGAAUGAAAAUUUGACUUUAGAAAUUGAUUGUGUUUCGCAUAGAAUAUUUGAAUAACUUGAUUUAAAUUGUUUUAAUUCACACUUGGCAUGGCAAUAUUAAUAUGUUCCUCAUCCACUUGUGCGGUGAGUUUGAUAUUUGAUCAGUUUCCUCCCUCUCUGGCUUCCCAGUCUGAGGGGCGAGUUUGGAUGAGUACUCAUUAGCUAGCUA
rnacentral:misc_RNA from 1 species